rnacentral:rRNA from 1 species
CAGUAGCCGCGGUAAUACGUAGGGUGCGAGCGUUAAUCGGAAUUACUGGGCGUAAAGCGUGCGCAGGCGAUUCGUUAAGACAGAUGUGAAAUCCCCGGGCUUAACCUGGGAACUGCAUUUGUGACUGGCGAGCUAGAGUAUGGCAGAGGGGGGUAGAAUUCCACGUGUAGCAGUGAAAUGCGUAGAGAUGUGGAGGAAUACCGAUGGCGAAGGCAGCCCCCUGGGCCAAUACUGACGCUCAUGCACGAAAGCGUGGGGAGCAAACAGGAUUAGAUACCCCCGUAGUCCCUGUCUCUUAUAC